GUAAGAUGCUGGGAUUUUUUCCCCCCUUCAAGUGGGUGAAGAUUGUUCCCAGACUGAAGCCUUCAUCGCAAGCCAACUUUUAACUGCAAGGGAAAUGUCUGAACUGGUAUGAGCAUUGCCAGUGGAUUUUGUGGGUGACAGCAGGCUUUGGAAAGCCAAACAUGGACAUGCAGCAUUCCCUGAGUUUUGGUGAUAUUUCCUGGGAAGCACAAACUGGGAUAUUCUUUCCAUGUAACUUAAAGCAAAUCACCGAGGAGAAUGAGGCACCUAUUUAGACAAUCCCAGAAUGGUUUGGAUUAGAAGAGACCUUAAAGCUCCUCUUGUGCCACCCCUGCCAUGGACAUUCCAGUAUCCCAGGUUGCUCCAAACCCCAUCCAACCUGGCCUUGGACAUUUCCAGGGAUCCAGGGGCAGAACUGAUUCUAAACAAGAAGAGUUUUAUAAAAGCCAGGUGCUGCAAAGCCCUUAUUGCAAAUCCUGCCUUGGCUCAUCAGAGGGAAUUUAAAUAAUUUC